CAAGGAGGGGCAGGUUCUCUGGGAAACUGAGCAUAUCAAUGCAAAAGAGACAGAAUUCUCUAGAGGGACUAUUUAGAUUAUUACAUCAGACUAGGUUAUAAUCCAAAAUGGACGAAAUUAAAGUUGUUGUUGUUUUUCCACCACCCAGAGGUUAGGAGCUUGUAAGGAAGACCAUAGCAGUUGAAAACAAAACAAGGCACAUUUCCAUUGUACAUCCCAGGAGUAGUUUGAAUGGUUUAAGGACCAGCUAUGUGUGUGCUUGCUUAAGCGUAUGUGCCCUGGGUAAGUCUAAGACUCAGUUUCUUCAUCUGUUGAAUGACGAUGAAUAAUAUUUUCCAUCUCAAUAGCCUCAUUGUGUGUUUAAAUGGUAGUUGCAUAAACAUCCCUAGCUCACUGCGGGAAUUCAGUGAGUGUAUUUCCUUGCUGGUGCUAAGGUAUGGGACUAGGGCAAUAAAAGGAACAAGAUAGGGCAGAGGGUACUCGGCCCAGGCCAGUGCCCAAUAACCACAACCUCCUUCUCCAUGGAGAGUUGAACAGACACCCAUCCAAUCUACAGACAACGGUCACAGACCACCUUUGAUAUCUGCUCCUCUCCAUGUGAAUUUUG
rnacentral:lncRNA from 1 species